rnacentral:lncRNA from 1 species
GUGUUCCAAUCUGUCAAAGAUCAAUAUUAUCUAAUUCCUCCAUUUCAUAUAAAAGAGUAUUUCUAUCUAUCUCAUACUUACUUGAAAAAUCAUUCUUAAGGAAAGUGACAUCCCGUGAUUUAAUGUCAGUCACAUUUCCAUCUGCAUAUUCACCUAAGAAUAUAUAAUCUUUGGAGUAUUCUGAGUAUCUAAUUAAAAAUGCAUUUCUUUUCUUUUGGAUCUAACUUUCUAUAUUGAUCAGAAGGAUCAUGAACAUAGGCAACAGACCCCC